rnacentral:piRNA from 1 species
UCACAAAAAGUGUAAACAUGC